rnacentral:rRNA from 1 species
UACGGGGGGGGCAAGCGUUGUUCGGAAUUACUGGGCGUAAAGGGCUCGUAGGCGCCAACUAAGUCGGACGUGAAAUCCCUCGGCUUAACCGGGGAACUGCAUCCGAUACUGGAUGGCUUGAGUUCGGGAGAGGGAUGCGGAAUUCCAGGUGUAGCGGUGAAAUGCGUAGAUAUCUGGAGGACACCGGUGGCGAAGGCGCGAUCCGUG